rnacentral:rRNA from 2 species
UUCGGAUGCUGACGAGUGGCGAACGGGUGAGUAAUAUAUCGGAACGUGCCCAGUCGUGGGGGAUAACGCAGCGAAAGCUGUGCUAAUACCGCAUACGAUCUACGGAUGAAAGCGGGGGAUCGCAAGACCUCGCGCGAUUGGAGCGGCCGAUAUCAGAUUAGGUUGUUGGUGAGGUAAAAGCUCACCAAGCCGACGAUCUGUAGCUGGUCUGAGAGGACGACCAGCCACACUGGAACUGAGACACGGUCCAGACUCC